UUGUCUCAAAGAUUAAGCCAUGCAUGUCUCAGUACGAGCCACAUUAAGGUGAAACCGCGAAAGGCUCAUUAAAUCAGUUAUGGUUCCUUAGAUCGUACCCACAUUUACUUGGAUAACUGUGGUAAUUCUAGAGCUAAUACAUGCAGAUAGAGCUCCGACCGGAGACGGAAGGAGUGCUUUUAUUAGAACAAAACCAAUCGGCGGCGGGCGCGUUCGCGCGUCCGUUCGCCGCUCUACCUGGUGAAUCUGAAUAACUUUCAGCUGAUCGCACGGUCUCGCACCGGCGACGCAUCUUUCAAAUGUCUGCCUUAUCAACUGUCGAUGGUAGGUUCUGCGCCUACCAUGGUCGUAACGGGUAACGGGGAAUCAGGGUUCGAUUCCGGAGAGGGAGCCUGAGAAACGGCUACCACAUCCAAGGAAGGCAGCAGGCGCGCAAAUUACCCACUCCCGGCACGGGGAGGUAGUGACGAAAAAUAACGAUACGGGACUCAUCCGAGGCCCCGUAAUCGGAAUGAGUACACUUUAAAUCCUUUAACGAGGACCCAUUGGAGGGCAAGUCUGGUGCCAGCAGCCGCGGUAAUUCCAGCUCCAAUAGCGUA
rnacentral:rRNA from 1 species